AGUGGACCCAACGAGCAGGGGCGGCGGAGCACACCCUCCAAUCAGCUGUGAGUGCUGUUGCUAUGUGCGCUCGUACUCUGCUGCCUUUGUGAAAAACCUUACACAGAGCGAAGCGAAAUCAGCACCCACGGCUGAACAUUUGUUUUAACCACUGCAGACAUCUGGAUCCCUCAGUUACUGACUGUAUAGCUAUUGACAGCCAGAAGGCAACUUCUUUUGUACAAGGAUUCCAGUAUGGUUUUCAGUGGAAACAAAGGGCUUCACAGAGAAGAUACUCUGGAUGAAUAUUUUGAGUAUGAUGCAGAGGAGUUCUUGGUCUCUCUGGCCUUGUUAAUAACAGAAGGACGAACACCUGAAUGUUCUGUUAAAGGUCGAACAGAAAGUUUCCAUUGUCCUCCAGCACAGUCCUGUUACCCAAUAACUACAAAACAUGAAUGUAGUGACAAGCUGGCCCAGUGUCGCCAAGCCAGACGAACUAGGUCUGAGGUCGCAUUGUUGUGGAAGAAUAACCUUCCAAUCAUGGUGGAAGUGAUGCUACUACCAGACUGCUGCUACAGUGAUGAUGGGCCCACCACCGAAGGAAUUGAUCUGAAUGAUCCUGCUAUUAAACAAGAUGUGUUAUUAUUAGAAAGAUGGAUAUUGGAGCCAGUUCCUCGACAGAAUGGUGAUCGAUUUAUUGAAGAGAAGACUCUCCUGUUGGCUGUCCGCUCAUUUGUGUUUUUUUCUCAAUUAAGUGCUUGGCUGAGUGUUUCUCAUGGUGCUACUCCACGAAAUAUUCUUUACAGAAUCAGUGCUGCUGAUGUAGACCUACAGUGGAAUUUCUCACAGACUCCAAUUGAACAUGUGUUUCCUGUUCCCAAUGUUUCUCACAAUGUGGCCUUGAAAGUCAGCGUUCAGUCCCUGCCCAGACAAUCUAAUUAUCCAGUUUUGACCUGUAGUAUUCACACUAAUAUUGGCCUUUAUGAGAAAAGAAUUCAAGAACAUGAACUUAAAACCCAUCAGCACCGAAAUUCUACAGAAGCAGAUCACUGUAGUACAGACAGUUCACAGCGUGUUUGCAGCAAACAAACUUGGACCAUGGCACCUGAAAGCAUAAUAUUACAUGCAAAAAAUGGCACAACUCCAGAAUAUAAUGCAGCUGUCAAAAAUGUCAAGCUUUAUCCAGGCACUGGCAGUAAAUCUGACUAUGGAACAUCUCAAGGCAAUAUUUUGGGCUUCAGUAGUAUAGGAGAGAAAAAGUCACAUGAAACAUCAGUGAGAACUUUCAAAUCAUUUUCAGUGGCUGAUUCCAGUGACUCUAGUCGCCAGAGUUCCUGGCAGUCAGUUGGUGAGACUAAUCCUUUAAUAGGCUGUUUAAUUCAGGAGCGGCAAGAAGUUAUCGCAAGAAUAGCUCACCAUUUGAUUCAUUGUGAUCCAAGUACUUCCCAUGUUUCUGGACAUCCACUUACUAUACAAGAAUCUAGUUCACUUAAUUCAAAACUUUUCCGUGUUUCACAAGAAAAUGAAAGUGUAAGAAGAUGUAAAGAAACAUUCUCUGUCUCUUUUGGCAGUCCAGAGUUCACCUCUUCAGAAGACACCAGUGAAGGGAAGAUUCGAGUAAAACCAGAAACUCCUCAAAAUGACACUUGCAUCUCUAAUGGUCUUCAUUCUCGUCAGUCUAUUGGUGAGACUAAUCCUUUGAUAAGCUCUUUACUCCAAGAACGGCAAGAUAUCAUUGCAAGGAUUGCUCAACACUUGGAGCAUAUUGAUCCAAUGGCAUCUCACAUGCCCCGGCAAUCAUUCAAUAUGCAGGACUCCAGUUCAGUUCCUUCUAAAGUAUUUAGGAGUUCCUUUGAAGACAAAAAUUUAUUGAAGAAAAACAAGGAUGACACCUCUGUUUCCAUUUCUAAUACAAAAUUUUCCUUGUUAGAUGACAUCAGUGAAGGGAAAAACUUAAUAUCUAACAAAUAUUUUGGUUCUUUUAAUUGCAACAGUAAAGUCAAGCCUUCUUUGCAACCUCAAACAAGAAGAAAUCUGUAUAAGGACAAUCCUAGUGAAAUCCGAAGUACAUUUCAGGAGACACAGAACAAAGCUACUGGUUUAAUGACCCCUUUGAAUAUAUCUCACUGCAGAGAAAAUAACUUCGAUUUGACAAUCAGGUUAGAAAACACACCUUCUGAGUGUCAAUUUGAGAAGCAAGAAAUUAGUGAUGAAAUUGAUAAAGAGCAUUCAAAUUGUAACAGUAUUGACCAACAGAUUUGCACAAAUAAGUAUAAGGACAAAAUAAUAAAUGAAAUUUACAAUCCAGAAUCUUUUAACAGUCGCCAGUGUGAUAAUUCAAAAAAAAAUGACUUGAAAGUAAAAGUUACUGUGUUGGAAUUGUCUGGAUAUCUGAGUAAACAUGAAAAUGAGUGCUCAAAUAAAGACCCAAAAAGGCCUAAGCCAUGUGAACAAAACACUCAACUUAAUAGUAUAGAAAAUUAUCUCAUUAAAGAUAGUGAAGGUUUCAAAUGCAAAAAGCUAGACCAAUUAAGAAGUGGACAGGAUAAGAAAGAAGAUCCAAUUGAUGAAAACUCUCAAAACUCUUCUCAGAGAAGGAAUUUAAAAGAUUGUUUGUCCACAUGUGAACAACUGAAAAAUAAAGAAGUGUUGCAGAGAACUAUAUCACUUAAACAUUCAAGUGUCUGGCAGAAACAUAAUUUUCAUUCCUUGGAUGGAACCUCAACCAGAGCCUUUCAUCCUCGAACUGGAUUGCCUCUUCUUUCCAGUCCUGUUCCUCAAAGAAAGGCACAAUCAGGUUGCUUUGAUCUGGAUUCUUCAUUCCUGCAUCUGAAAAGCUUAUCGUCUAGAAGUCCUCAACCAUGUUUAAACAUUGAAGAUGAUCCAGAUAUUCAUGAAAAACCACUUCUGAGUUCUAGUGCUCCGCCUGUAACAAGUCUUAGUCUUUUAGGAAAUUUUGAGGAAUCUGUUUUGAACUACCGUUUAGAUCCUCUUGGCAUUGUUGAUGGCUUUACCGCAGAGGUAGGGGCAAGUGGUGUCUUCUGCCCCACCCAUUUGACUCUCCCAGUUGAAGUGUCAUUCUACAGUGUUUCUGACGAUAAUGCUCCCUCUCCUUAUAUGGGUGUGAUUACUUUAGAGUCCCUUGGUAAAAGGGGUUAUCGAGUACCUCCUUCAGGAACAAUACAAGUGGUAUGUGUUUUAUAGCCUACAAUUGCAAUAAUCAUUCUCUCACAUACAUAUAGAACUUAGCCCUUUCUCCUGCUACUGCUGCUGCAACAACUUUGACCUUAUUUAAUCCUAAUAAGACUGUGGUGAAGAUGUUUGUUGUGAUAUAUGACUUGCGAGAUAUGCCAGCCAAUCAUCAGACAUUCCUACGACAAAGAACUUUUUCUGUACCUGUUAAACAAGAAAUGAAAAGAAGUGUUAAUAAAGAGAACAUCAGACAUACAGAAGAACGGUUAUUACGCUACCUCAUACAUCUGAGGUUCCAGAGUUCUAAAUCUGGAAAGAUCUACCUCCAUAGAGAUGUACGGCUCCUGUUCUCUAGAAAGUCAAUGGAAGUUGAUAGCGGUGCUGCAUAUGAACUCAAAUCUUACACUGAAUCGCCAACAAACCCUCAGUUUUCACCAAGAUGUUGAUAAAAGAGUGACAGCUUAAAGUAUUUGCCCACUACCCAAGUUUGAAAGUAAAAAUUAGCAUAGAAAGGAGUGUACCAAAUUAACAAGCAGGAGAGUGGAUCUUCUCCUGUUUUCCUGGACCAGUUUUUAAUCAAAGGAUUCCUGGAAUGAGAUCUACAUAUUCCAAGUAGACUGGAAACACUCAUGUCCUAAUCCUUUUUGUACUGUUGAAACCACUUCAUUGGACGUGUUGCAAUAGCAAACCCCCUCCCCCCCACAAAUUAGAUUAGUGUUUACACUUUUUAUUUCUCAGUUAUUUAAUAUUUAAUGUUUUCCUUAAUACUCAAGUGAUGUUUGUCUCUAGUGUUCUAAUGUAGCACAAAUCCUAUGUAAAAUCAUACUGUGUAUUUUUGACAUUACUGUUGAAAUCUGAAAUAUAUGCACAAGUCUUUUAAUUUUGUGUGAUGUGUUUUAAGUACUAUUCAUUUAAGUUAUUGAAAAUGAGAAUGAAAUGUUGAGCUUCUUUAAGAUUAAUGCACUAUGCAAGCAUGUGUACUUUUUAUAUCUCCCAGGUUUAGUUUUUACAACACCUCGUCCCGAUUGCUGUCUCACACAGUAGUCCUGUACCAUGCUGUCUUGGCGGUGCAAUGCAGACUAAGCUGCUUCACAUUCCCUUUGCAAUCUCAGAUCAUCAUGCCCAUUCAUAGUCCUUCUAAAAUCUCUUACUCCCAAAACAGUUCUAUUUUUUCCUUAAUCACCACUACAGAGGAUUUACCUUAAAUUGCUGUCCCAUUCUAGAUAAUUUUUGCAAAUUGUUAAAAGAAUAUGUACUUUGAAGACAAAUUAGUAUUUAUAUUGUAAAUAUAUGCAAGAAACAAA